CUCAUCCGUCAGCAAAGGAUUAUUCCUUCUACUCAACUGUAACACACACUUAUUCCAGACUGGACAUGUUUUUUGUCCCACAUAGAUUUCUCCAUCUCAUCCAGUCCAGCAGAUAUGGCCAAAUUACUUGGUCAGACCAUGCACCCCUAACGUUAGAUAUGCACAUACCCACACUACCCCAGAAAUCUUUCCAAUGGAAACUCAACGACCUCCUCCUGAACGAUCCCGCAGUAACGGCCAAUAUCAAUAAUGCAC